UACGGGGGGGGCAAGCGUUGUUCGGAAUUACUGGGCGUAAAGGGUUCGUAGGUGGCUCGCUAAGUCAGACGUGAAAUCCCUCAGCUUAACUGGGGAACUGCGUCUGAGACUGAUGAGCUUGAGUGCAGGAGAGGAACGCGGAAUUCCGGGUGUAGCGGUGAAAUGCGUAGAUAUCUGGAGGAACACCGGUGGCGAAGGCGGCGUUCUGGACUGCAACUGACACUGAGGAACGAAAGCUAGGGGAGCAAACAGG
rnacentral:rRNA from 1 species